UUGUGGGUCCGUAGUCCAGUAUGUAGGUUGCCCUGUGGAUAUUGAGUUGAGUGAGAUAAGUGCUCUUCCUCUGGAUCCCCAUGAGGUGUGUUUAGCAAUGUAGUCGCCUCCGGCGAUGAAUUUUGGUCCUAGUGUUUUAAAAAAGUUGUCCAGAAUAUCGUGGUUGAGGAUGUGUCUCGGAGGGUAGUAGAUUGCUGAUAUAGUGAUUUGUCCCAUUGCUGUUUGGACAAUCACAGUAGUCGCUUGUAGAUAAUCAUGCUGACAUUUUUCGGAUUCGUGGUGCUUAAUGGUAUUUUUGAUGAUUAUUACUGAUUCUCCAUGGGCAGUUCCGUCUGGGUGUUUUGUGUGGUAUGUGAUGUUUCCGGUCACUUUGAAGUACGAUUUGUUUGUAAAGUGUGAUUCGGACACCAGAAGAAUAUCAAUAUGGUUGGUCUUUAGAAAGACUUCUAAUUCUUGUCGAUGUUGGCAUUCCAGAGUGCUAUGUGUAAGGCAUUACUGUCCUUUGAAGAUUUUUUUUAAUAUCGGGGUUAGUAGAUUGAGCAAGGUAGAUAGUUGUUCAGCUUGUUUGAUAAGGAUGAUUUCGAAUCUGUUGAAUGCCUGGGCGAUGUUGUCUGCAUUUGUAGUAUUGUUGGCUGGAGGGGUUCCUGUUACAACUUGUGCAUAGUUUCGACGGUCGUUUCCGGUUGUUGAAAUUCUUCUAUUAGUGGAGUUCUGGGAUGGUAGUUGAUGAUUGUUGGGCUCUGGGAAUAUGGUUCUAGUUUUUUUAACGUUAAUUCUUGGAUUUCCGUCUUUUGUUGUGUCAUUUUUGGGUUUCUGUAUCUCUUUAUAGACUGUACAUCCUUUGUAGUUUGCCGGGUGUCACCCGCUACAAAGGACGCAUGUUGCUGCUCUCCUGAGCAUUUUACACAUCGGUGUGGUCUAUUGCAGCACCCUUUUGUCUGUCAAUAUAUUUGACAUCUUGUGCAGGUAGUUUCACACGUUUGUUUGGCCUUGUGAUCGUUUGCCACUGUUCUCCGUCUACCUGGUCUCGGACGAAUACCAAGUUUGUAACGGUUAAAAAUAGAAUUUAGCCAAUGGCCUGUCUGCUAAUCCGUUGUUCAAAUGUAUGUAGUAAUAAGUUAUAAUAGUAAUAAGCUAUUUUUGUCAACCGAUUUUCAUUUGUAACUUGGAUUUAGUAAGCACCUUUAUCAGAUUAGAUUAGUUAUAUUUUGGGGAUUAUUUCAAUUUUGAUGUUUGGUGAUUUGUAUAUCUCUCCCAAACAUCAGCAGUCUUUAUCAUGGGUUUGUCUGGCAACGUGGUGGUUACCCCACCUUCACGGACCACCGUUAUUGAUGGAAAUGGACGAGGAGUGGACCCAGCAGGGUCACCGAGCAAAGGGGAAUCACGUACCAGAGAAUGCUGAACAUAGUCGAUCACCGUCAGCUUGACCUCUGAAUCCGCCUUAUUCUGCUCUGUGAUAGAUCUGCCCGCUACUUGAAUAUCCGUUUGGGGACAUCACCCGCCUCCCGGUUCCCGUCUGGGGAUAUUGAUUCACUGAAAUUGUGGACUGGGUAGCCAGGGGCGAUCUGGAUGAGAUCUGGACCUAGCACGUAGGCGUCGGCAGCACGUGGCGGCGACUUCGGGGACUUGCUGGUGUUUGGGAUAAAAUGUUAACUCCAGUGCUACAAUACACCGAUAAUGAUGUCAUAUGCAACAUGAUUCUCACGUUGCUAUGUGAAUCUUGGUUGGAUCAUAUUUACAACCACAAAGUAAAAUUUUCGCGAUUUGGGGCCUUUCAGGUCCUCUGCGAUUUUGCGUACGUCGGCAUAUGGAUACAAGAAUGUACUUUCAUCAGCAAAAACAUGAAAAUUGAACUGACGAAAAACGAAGUUUUGCGCCGAUGUGAAGGAGUGGGCAGAUUACUUCUUAGAUACCCUGGAGAAAAGCUGAAAAUGGUGGACCCAAAGUUGCUGAAAAAGUCAGAAGCUGAGACACUAACGUAUCAUCAACAGAUGCCCGCUGAAAUGUAUGUUCCCAACCAAGAGCAAUGGCUGGAGUUGAAAGCUGAAAGACAAAACCGUGCUUUUAAUUCAGUAUGUUAAGUAGAAUAGGUUCAGCAUAACAUGUUGAAAUAUGUAAAGUUGGAUCCAGCUAAAGAGCUUGAAUUCACAAUACUAUGCAGGCGCUCAAAUUAUAUACUUGACGCGGUGCUGUGCCAAGUUCUUUCUGGAAUAUUAUAAGGUGUUAAUGGUUGUUUAACAUACCCUGAUGCAAACUUCUCACAUAUUGUAGAUUUUGGGAUGAAUUCCUCAAUGUUCUGACAGAUUAAGGCGCAGUUCUGCAUGGGAAUAGUUUAGAUGUAAGUCCAUAUUUAUGAAAGUGGUCUAAGUAAAAAUUUGAAAAAUAAA